rnacentral:rRNA from 1 species
UUGACCUCAAAUCAGGUAGGACUACCCGCUGAGCUUAAGCAUAUCU